rnacentral:pre_miRNA from 1 species
AGGCUUCACUCCUUGAAUGGCACUGGUAGAAUUCACGGGGUAUCACUGACCGUGGACUAUCAAUUGCCAUACAUGGCGUGUAAGUGA